rnacentral:rRNA from 1 species
AUUGAACGCUGGCGGCAGGCCUAACACAUGCAAGUCGAACGAGUGGCGGACGGGUGAGUAAUGUCUGGGAAACUGCCCGAUGGAGGGGGAUAACUACUGGAAACGGUAGCUAAUACCGCAUACCAUCGGAUGUGCCCAGAUGGGAUUAGCUAGUAGGUGGGGUAACGUCUCACCUAGGCGACGAUCCGUUGCUGGUCUGAGAGGAUGACCUGACACACUGGAACUGGUACACGGUCCAGACUCCUACGGGAGUCAGCAGUGGGGAAUAUUGCACAAUGGGCGCAAGCCUGCUGCAGCCGUGCCGAGUGUAUGAAGAAGGCCUUCGGGUUGUAAAGUACUUUCAGCGAGGAGGCGUUACUCUCAUAAGAAGCACCGGCUAACUCCGUGCCAGCAGCCGCGGUAAUAC